rnacentral:rRNA from 1 species
AACGAUGAAUACUAGGUGUAGGAGGUAUCGACUCCUUCUGUGCCGCAGUUAACACAAUAAGUAUUCCGCCUGGGGAGUACGGUCGCAAGAUUAAAACUCAAAGGAAUUGACGAGGGCCCGCACAAGCAGCGGAGCAUGUGGUUUAAUUCGAAGCAACGCGAAGANCCUUACCUAGACUUGACAUCUUCUNCAUUAAUCGUAAUGGAUGAAAUCCCUUCGGGGACAGAAUGACAGGUGGUGCAUGGUUGUCGUCAGCUCGUGUCGUGAGAUGUUGGGUUAAGUCCCGCAACGAGCGCAACCCCUAUUAUUAGUUGCUAACAUUAAGUUGAGCACUCUAGUGAGACUGCCCGGGUUAACCGGGAGGAAGGUGGGGAUGACGUCAAAUCAUCAUGCCCCUUAUGUCUAGGGCUACACACGUGCUACAAUGGUGGGAACAAAGAGAUGCAAUACCGCAAGGUGGAGCUAAACUCAAAACCCCAUCCCAGUUCGGAUUGUAGGCUGAAACUCGCCUACAUGAAGCUGGAGUUGCUAGUAAUCGCGAAUCAGAAUGUCGCGGUGAAUACGUUCCCGGGCCUUGUACACACCGCCCGUCACACCAUGAGAGUCGGCAACACCCGAAGCCCGUGAGGCAACCUUUUGGAGCCAGCGGUCGAAGGUGGGGUUGAUGAUUGGGGUGAAGUCGUAACAAGGUAGCCGUAGGAGAACC